rnacentral:rRNA from 1 species
UACGGAGGGGGCUAGCGGUGGUCGGAAUUAAUGGGCGUAAAGCGCACGUAGGCGGCUUUGUAAGUUAGAGGUGAAAGCCCGGGGCUCAACUCCGGAAUUGCCUUUAAGACUGCAUCGCUAGAAUUGUGGAGAGGUAAGUGGAAUUCCGAGUGUAGAGGUGAAAUUCGUAGAUAUUCGGAAGAACACCAGUGGCGAAGGCGACUUACUGGACACAUAUUGACGCUGAGGUGCGAAAGCGUGGGGAGCAAACAGG